AUUGAACGCUGGCGGCAGGCUUAACACAUGCAAGUCGAGCGGAGAUGAGGUGCUUGCACCUUAUCUUAGCGGCGGACGGGUGAGUAAUGCUUAGGAAUCUGCCUAUUAGUGGGGGACAACAUUCCGAAAGGAAUGCUAAUACCGCAUACGCCCUACGGGGGAAAGCAGGGGAUCUUCGGACCUUGCGCUAAUAGAUGAGCCUAAGUCGGAUUAGCUAGUUGGUGGGGUAAAGGCCUACCAAGGCGAGGAUCUGUAGCGGGUCUGAGAGGAUGAUCCGCCACACUGGGACUGAGAAACGGCCCAGACUCCUACGGGAGGCAGCAGUGGGGAAUAUUGGACAAUGGGCGGAAGCCUGAUCCAGCCAUGCCGCGUGUGUGAAGAAGGCCUUUUGGUUGUAAAGCACUGUAAGCGAGGAGGAGGCUACCUGGAUUAAUACUCUAGGAUAGUGGACGUUACUCGCAGAAUAAGCACCGGCUAACUCUGUGCCAGCCGCCGCGGUAACAC
rnacentral:rRNA from 1 species